AACAAGGUCUCCGUUGGUGAACCAGCGGAGGGAUCAUUAUCGAGUUAUUCAACUCCCAAACCCUAUGUGAACUUACCACUUGUUGCUUCGGCGCGCGCUUCGGCGCCGCCGAGGACACUUAAACUCUUUGUUUUUAUAAGCAUUUCUGAGUGGCCGAAAGGCAAAAAUACAAAUGAAUCAAAACUUUCAACAACGGAUCUCUUGGUUCUGGCAUCGAUGAAGAACGCAGCGAAAUGCGAUAAGUAAUGUGAAUUGCAGAAUUCAGUGAAUCAUCGAAUCUUUGAACGCACAUUGCGCCCGCCAGCAUCCUGGCGGGCAUGCCUGUUCGAGCGUCAUUUCAACCCUCGAGCCCGACUCUUUUGAGGACGGCUCGGCGUUGGGGGACGGCAGACUCCCCCCGGCAUCUCGCCGGGGACGCCGCCCCCGAAAUCUAGUGGCGGCCCUCCGAGGCGACCUCUGCGUAGUAACUUGUUCUCGCACCGGAAAGCUCAGAGCGGCCACGCCGUAAAACCCCAACUUUUUUCAGGUUGACCUCGAAUCAGGUAGGACUACCCGCUGAACUUAAGCAUAUCAAUA
rnacentral:rRNA from 1 species